UCCCUGGAGGACUAGUGGUUAGGCCACAGCGCUUUCACCACUGCGGCCCGGGUUCAAUUCUCGCCAGCGAG